rnacentral:rRNA from 1 species
UUUCAGAGAUGGAUUGGUCCUUCGGGGACAAAGUGACAGGUGGUGCAUGGUUGUCGUCAGCUCGUGUCGUGAGAUGUUGGGUUAAGUCCCGCAACGAGCGCAACCCUUAUUGUUAGUUGCCAUCAUUUAGUUGGGCACUCUAGCGAGACUGCCGGUGACAAACCGGAGGAAGGUGGGGAUGACGUCAAAUCAUCAUGCCCCUUAUGACCUGGGCUACACACGUGCUACAAUGGGAAGUACAACGAGUCGCUAGACCGCGAGGUCAUGCAAAUCUCUUAAAGCUUCUCUCAGUUCGGAUUGCAGGCUGCAACUCGCCUGCAUGAAGCCGGAAUCGCUAGUAAUCGCGGAUCAGCACGCCGCGGUGAAUACGUUCCCGGGCCUUGUACACACCG